rnacentral:lncRNA from 1 species
GCCUCUUUAUAAUCCAGCCCCUGACUCGUUUUGAGCAUGCUCAUUCAUUGUUAUGCGGUGGUCUGGUUACCCAACCACCCGCAGGAGUGCAGGAACCUUGUUGCCUCACUUCUGGCUGGAUCUGCAACAUCCUAAUGAGGCCUGCACCUCUGAGCACCAGAGAGGCUAAUAAAGAGCAUCCUUGCCCAGGUCCCACUCGGAACAGGAGAGGUGAAUGUUAAAAUGCCCUACGGCUCUCUGUCUUAGUCAGGGUUUCUAUUCCUGCACAAAACAUCAGGACCAAAAGCAAGUUGAAGAGGAAAGGGUUUAUUCUGCUUAUACUUCCACAUUGCUGUUCAUCACAAAGGUAAGUCAGGACUGGAACUCAAGCAGGUCAGGAAGCAGGAGCUGAUGCAGAGGCCAUGGAGGGAUGUUUCUUACUGAUUUGCUUCCCCUGGCUUGCUCAGCUUGCUUUCUUAUAGAAUGGAAGACUACCAGCUCAGCGAUGGCACCAGCCACAAUGGGCUGGGCCCUCCCACCCUUGCUCACUAAUUGAGAAAAUGCCUUACAGCUGGAUCUCAAGGAGGCAUUUCCUCAAGGGAGGCUCCUUUCUCUGUGAUAACUCCAGCUUGUGUCAAAGUGACACAAAACCAGCCAGUACAUUCUCAGAGCCCCAACAGAGGGGAUAUGCAUUUAAGAAAAACUGGCUGGUUCAGAUGACUUACCGGUCCCUCCUUUUCCUAGGACUGUUCUAGAACUGAAGCUGGUGAUGGGCCACACCCAGGGAGACGCUGCUUCUUAGGCCUUCCCUCCUGUCUCCAGCUCCCCCAUAAGCCAGGGAGCAGCGCUCUGCUGGUGUCAAGGCUGCUGCAAAACCAAGAGUGGAUGCUGAGUGGUGGUGAUCCAAGGCUUGUGUGAGUGCUCUACCUACCCCUCUCUCUUUUUAGUCUUCCAGGAACAAGGUCUCCAUUAAUUACCCAGACUGGUCUUGAACUCCCCCAUGUAGUCCAGGCAAUCCUCCUGCCUCAGCCUUCCCUAGCUGGAUCUACAGAUGUGUGCCGAAGGGUGGAUCUUUGGAAGGCAAUCGGCAAUCUGAGUAAAGGUUUUCCUAGAGAAAGAAGCCAGGGUUGUAAACACAGAAGCAAGCACUCUACGCAGAGGAAGAUGGGAAUGAAUGGCCCAAAAGAUUUCAAUAAAGCUCCCCAUAAAAACCAUGAGCCAGGUAUCCAUAUACCUGUACAACCCCCCACCCCCACCCCAGGUUCUGAAACACCUACCCAGGG